rnacentral:rRNA from 1 species
CCAAGUGCGAGGGCAUAUUAGCCCUCGCUUUUCUCGACUGUAAGGUGGUCGACGAAUAAGAGCUGGGCAAGACCGGUGCCAGCCGCCGCGGUAAUACCGGCAGCUCAAGUGAUGUCCCAUAUUAUUGGGCCUAAAGCGUCCGUAGCUGGCCGACCAAGUCUCCCGGGAAAUCCACCCGCCCAACGGGUGGGCGUCCGGUAGAAACUGGCCGGCUUGGAACCGGAAGGCUCAGAGAGUACGUCCGGGGUAGGAGUGAAAUCCCGUAAUCCCGGACGGACUACCGAUGGCGGGUAGUCCGAGCUGUAAACGAUGCUCGUUAGGUGUGGCACCCACUACGAGUGGGUGCUGCGCCGUAGGGAAGCCGCUAAACGAGCCGCCUGGGAAGUACGUCCGCAAGGAUGAAACUCAAG